UGGGGAAUAUUGGGCAAUGGAGGCAACUCUGACCCAGCAACGCCGCGUGAAUGAUGAAGGUCUUCGGAUUGUAAAGUUCUUUUCUAAGGGAAGAAGAAAGUGACGGUACCUUAGGAAUAAGCCUCGGCUAACUACGUGCCAGCAGCCGCGGUAAUACGUAGGAGGCAAGCGUUAUCCGGAAUGACUGGGCGUAAAGGGUGCGUAGGUGGUUUGACAAGUUGGUAGCGUAACUCCGGAGCUCAACUUCGGAACUACUACCAAAACUGUUGGACUCGAGUGCAGGAGGGGCAACUGGAAUUUCUA
rnacentral:rRNA from 1 species